rnacentral:rRNA from 1 species
UACGAGGGGGGCAAGCGUUGUUCGGAAUUAUUGGGCGUAAAGGGCGCGUAGGCGGUGCGGUAAGUCUGAUGUGAAAUCUCCGGGCUCAACUCGGAGUCUGCAUCAGAAACUGCCGUGCUUGAGUGUGGGAGAGGUGAGUGGAAUUCCCGGUGUAGCGGUGAAAUGCGUAGAUAUCGGGAGGAACAUCAGUGGCGAAAGCGGCUUCCUGGUCCAGCACCGACGUUCAGGCACGAAAGCGUGGGGAGCAAACAGG